rnacentral:misc_RNA from 1 species
AAUUGCAUUGUAGUCACAUCCCGAAUGCUGGCGAAGCCACCUUUAACUCUUGUAUGUGCAUUCAGAGAGUUCAUUAUUGAUUCACCCACUUCCAUAUACCAUGGAUCUUUGGUUGCUUGAUAUAGGUAAAAUGUGGACUCUGCCAAUUCAGGACGUAAAGGAUAGUAUUUUUCAGUAGGAUGCAACACCUGAUGAUCCAGCAGAUACCUAAAUUAUUGAAAAGGGUCCUCUCUGGAAGA